rnacentral:lncRNA from 1 species
UUGAGUAAUAUAAAUCCAAGAUCUCAUUCUCCUCGAUCAAAAUCAGUGUGAUAGAUAGCUUUGGAUCAACUAUCAUAAAUUUCAAGAUUAACACUAGAUAAGUGACUGAGUAAAAUCUCAUAUUGAAAUUAUCAUCUUGAUGCAUGUUCGCUCGAGGUUGGAUCAGGAUCGAUUCACAACAGGAUUGAUUAAAAUUAGUUGUGUUUGGGAUAGAACUUGAAAUGAAAUAGAUCUCAUACACUUAUCAUGGUAGUGUGCUGAUCCCUCAAAGGAUAAUGACCAACCUUAGAGUCAAAUCAUUAUAUUGCUAAGAAUAUGAUUCAUAAAAUGAACAUGUACUAAUGAUCAUUAGAUAGCAACGAUUUAUCUCAAAAAUGAUUUGCAUCAAAUCACAAAAGCAGGUCUAAGAAGACAGUAUUGAUACCAUGAUUCAAUAUGCCACAAAGCUUUUAACUUAAACUUAUAAAUCAUAAGAUGAGAGCAAUUAAUGCAUGGUUUAUUCAGAUACUUAA